UACAGAGGGGGCAAGCGUUGUUCGGAAUUACUGGGCGUAAAGGGCGCGUAGGCGGCCUUCUAAGUCGAACGUGAAAUCCCCGGGCUCAACCCGGGAACUGCGUCCGAGACUGAAAGGCUUGAAUCCGGGAGAGGGAUGUGGAAUUCCCGGUGUAGCAGUGAAAUGCGUAGAUAUCGGAAGGAACAUCAGUGGCGAAAGCGACUUCCUGGACCAAUACUGACGCUCAUGUGCGAAAGCGUGGGGAGCAAACAGG
rnacentral:rRNA from 1 species